rnacentral:rRNA from 1 species
GAGGUGCUCGCGGCCUAUCAGCUAGUUGGUGAGGUAACGGCUCACCAAGGCGACGACGGGUAGCUGGUCUGAGAGGAUGGCCAGCCACAUUGGGACUGCGACACGGCCCAGACUCCUACGGGAGGCAGCAGUGGGGAAUCUUGCACAAUGGAGGAAACUCUGAUGCAGCGAUGCCGCGUGAGUGAAGAAGGCCUUUGGGUUGUAAAGCUCUUUUGUAGGGGAAGAUAAUGACUGUACCCUAAGAAUAAGGUCCGGCUAACUUCGUGCCAGCAGCCGCGGUAAUACGAAGGGACCUAGCGUAGUUCGGAAUUACUGGGCGUAAAGCGCGCGUAGGCCGUUGAGUUAGUUAAUUGUGAAAUCCCAAAGCUUAACUUUGGAACUGCAAUUAAAACUGCUCGACUAGAGUUUGAUAGAGGAAAGCGGAAUACAUAGUGUAGAGGUGAAAUUCGUAGAUAUUAUGUAGAACACCAGUUGCGAAGGCGGCUUUCUGGAUCAACACUGACGCUGAGGCGCGAAAGUAUGGGUAGCAAAGAGGAUUAGAUACCCUCGUAGUCCAUACCAUAAACGAUGAUUGCUAGAUGUUGGAAAUUUAUUUUCAGUAUCGCAGCUAACGCAUUAAGCAAUCCGCCUGGGGAGUACGACCGCAAGGUUAAAACUCAAAUGAAUUGACGGGGGCCCGCACAAGCGGUGGAGUAUGUGGUUUAAUUCGAUGCAACGCGAAGAACCUUACCAGGGUUUGACAUCCUGCGAAUCUCUUGGAAACGAGAGAGUGCCUUCGGGAACGCAGUGACAGGUGGUGCAUGGCUGUCGUCAGCUCGUGUCGUGAGAUGUUGGGUUAAGUCCCGCAACGAGCGCAACCCACGUCGUUAGUUGCCAGCAUUCAGUUGGGCACUCUAGCGAGACCGCCGGUGAUAAACCGGAGGAAGGUGUGGAUGACGUCAAGUCAUCAUGCCCCUUACAUCCUGGGCUACACACGUACUACAAUGCUACGGACAAAGGGCAGCAAGCUCGCGAGAGUUAGCAAAUCCCAUAAACCGUGGCUCAGUUCAGAUCGUAGGCUGCAACUCGCCUACGUGAAGGAGGAAUCGCUAGUAAUCGCAGGUCAGCAUACUGCGGUGAAUACGUUCCCGGGCCUUGUACACACCGCCCGUCACACCAUGGAAGUUGGCCACGCCCGAAGCCGUUACUCCAACCCUUGUGGAGGAGGACGUCGAAGGUGGGGCUGAUGACUGGGGUGAAGUCAUAACAAGGUAGCC